UACUGGAUACCCAAAAAUUGAAAUUCAUUUUAUUAUAGCCUUUUGCUGCCUUAAAAAAUUUGGCUCAUCUUUAUGUUAAAUAGGAAAAAAAAAACCCCCCUGUUCUAUCCAAUUCUUCCCCAGCUGCUGCUGCUGCUGCUAUUUAUGCCACAACCCAACUGCCCCAUUGAUACUCCUUCCUCCACAACUCGCAACGCCGCACUGUUCUGUAAAAUCUUCUCUAUAUCCAUCUGCACUGCCGCUCAAGAAUAAGGCCAAGAAAAACCAAUCAGAUUCUGACAAGAACGAUGAGAAGAGGAUACUAUACAUACAUCACCUCCCUCCUCUUCUUUUUACUCAUCUCCCGAUCAAUUUCCGCUCGUCUUCUACCAACCAAUCAAGCUUCAUCUUCAUUCUCGACGACGAAAGCGGACGAGGACAUGGCCAGUCUGAUGGGUCUGGAGGAAUGCAAUGGAAAGGAUGAAGCUUGUGUACAGAGAAGGAUGAUCGCUGAGGCUCACUUGGAUUACAUCUACACCCAACACCAUAAACCCAAGGGUUCACCAUAAAAAAUUUACUUGUAUAAAACCAACACAUGAUAACCAAUUAUUACUAUUAGAUUACAAGUACGUCAAACUGUCGAGACACCAAACAAAUAUACUUACUUGUAGUGUCUACUAGUUAAGCUAGCUGUAGAUUCGAAUGAAAGCUAUUACAUAGUGAGUGAUUUGUCCUCCUCCUCCUCCCCGUCUCUGCUGCUGUGAUGUGGGGAAGGAGCUGAAUACGUAAUAGAGAUGCAAUAUCUACUGUUGUACAAUACUUGCAAUGAAACCCCAGAUAAAAAUAUCAACCCGUAUUUAUUGAUGCAUACGUAUUUAAUUGUGAUAUAGAGACAAUGGAUCACCACAGUAUUAUGUUGCUGUUUGUAUAACUAAUUACGAGUUCGAGCCACGUACAAAAGGAGCAAAGCACCACAUUUUUGGGGCUGACGGAAACGACCGUAGAAAAAUGGGCUAAGUAGUUUUUUUUUUGGUGCAAGUUGCUAAGUUGACCAAAAGCAUGUUUUCUUUUCUUCACUUUUUCAAAGAUUUCUCAAGAAAUUCGUUUUGCUCUGUAGUAGUUUUGUCUUUUUCCUUACCUUUUCUUUUAAUUUCUGUAGAAGAAGCUAAUGCCCUGAAAAUCCACAUAUGACACCGUUAAUCUGGCACAAGUGGAGGAGGGUUGACGAGCCAAUUGCAGCCUGUAGGUUUGGCCUAUAGAUGAUGAACUACUCCUCCUGCAACUCGAGAGCAAAAUGUCAUGUAUAACUGCAUCCGCUUCCGCAAUGCGUUUGGAAACUCGAAUUGCUCGAUGACUUUUAGACUUGUCUAAUAAUCUUAAGGGCACGCUACGUGUCUCUGCUAAUUAUCCACUAAAAAAGAAGCAAGCCCAACCAACAGCUGACUCUCAUGACUGCAUGCUAUAAGACCCAUCAACGGGAACCCUGUAUGAGAAUUGAAUGCGCAUUCAACAAGUUUGGGGUUGGAGUAAAGAAAGUUCAAAUUGCUCAUACCUUCCCAUGUUGAGAUAUUCAAUCAUAUAGCUGUAUAUAUUGUUAUCAUAUAUGUUUCUGUCAUGACGUGAUUGUAGCAGUAGUUUUAGCUUUCCAUUACAUGAUUUUAUGAAUGAUUGUAACUUCCAUUUUUUGUCAAAUUCUUGUAACUAUAUCAGCAGACUAUGGCAAUCAAUAAUACAUGCUUGAAGUUUUUCCCAA